GACGAACGCUGGCGGCGUGCUUAACACAUGCGAGUCGAACGGAAAGGCCCUGCUUUUGUGGGGUGCUCGAGUGGCGAACGGGUGAGUAACACGUGAGUAACCUGCCCUUGACUUUGGGAUAACUUCAGGAAACUGGGGCUAAUACCGGAUAGGAGCUCCUGCUGCAUGGUGGGGGUUGGAAAGUUUCGGCGGUUGGGGAUGGACUCGCGGCUUAUCAGCUUGUUGGUGGGGUAGUGGCUUACCAAGGCUUUGACGGGUAGCCGGCCUGAGAGGGUGACCGGCCACAUUGGGACUGAGAUGCGGCCCCGACUCCUACGGGAGGCAGCAGUGGGGAAUAUUGCACAAUGGGCGGAGGCCUGAUGCAGCAACGCCGCGUGCGGGAUGACGGCCUUCGGGUUGUAAACCGCUUUCGCCUGUGACGAAGCGUGAGUGACGGUAAUGGGUAAAGAAGCACCGGCUAACUACGUG
rnacentral:rRNA from 1 species